rnacentral:rRNA from 1 species
GACGAACGCUGGCGGCGUGCCUAAUACAUGCAAGUAGGACGCAGUUGCGAACGGGUGAGUAACGCGUCGGUAACUGCCUAUUAGAGGGGGAUAACUAUUGGCAACGAUAGCUACUACCGCCUACUAGUAGAUGGACCUGCGUUGUAUUUGGUAGUAGGUAGGGUAAUGGCCUACCUAGGCGACGAUACAUAGCCGACCUGGGAGGGUGAUCGGCCAAACGGGGACGUAGACACGGCCCAGACUCCUACUGGAGGCAGCAGUAGGGAAUCUUCGGCAAUGGGGGGAACCCUGACCGAGCAACGCCGCGUGAGUGAAGAAGGUUUUCGGAGCGUAAAGCUCUGUUGUUAAGGAAGCGGUACUUAACCAGAAAGGGACGGCUAACUACGUGCCAGCAGCCGCGGUAAUUC